rnacentral:rRNA from 1 species
GAUGAACGCUAGCUACAGGCUUAACACAUGCAAGUCGAGGGGUAACGAGAGGAAAGCUUGCUUUCCUUGUCGACGACCGGCGCACGGGUGAGUAACGCGUAUCCAACCUGCCCCCAACUAGGGAAUAACCUUGCGCAAGUAAGACUAAUACCCUAUAAUUUCCUCAGAUGUCAUCUGACGAGGAAUAAAGAUUUAUCGGUUGUGGAUGGGGAUGCGUCUGAUUAGCUUGUUGGCGGGGUAACGGCCCACCAAGGCAACGAUCAGUAGGGGUUCUUAGAGGAAGGUCCCCCACAUUGGAACUGAGACACGGUCCAAACUCCUACGGGAGGCAGCAGUGAGGAAUAUUGGUCAAUGGGCGGAAGCCUGAACCAGCCAAGUAGCGUGCAGGAUGACGGCCCUAUGGGUUGUAAACUGCUUUUAUACAGGAAUAAAGUUAGCCACGUGUGGUUAUUUGUAGGUACUGUAUGAAUAAGGACCGGCUAAUUCCGUGCCAGCCGCCGCGGUAA